rnacentral:rRNA from 1 species
AGGCGCGGGAUCAAGCUAACACAGUGAAGUCGUAGGCAACACAGUUGGAGCAAUCGCAACCGGUGGCGAGUGGCGCACGGGUGAGUAACGCGUAUGCAACCUACCCUUCUCCGGGACAUAACUCCGCGAAAUGCUGCUAAUAUCCCAUACCAACUCAUCAAGACAUCUUCUUGAGUUGAAAGCAGCAAUGCGGUGAAGGAUGGGCAUGCGUCCCAUUAGCUGGUUGGUGAGGUAAUGGCCCACCAAGGCUACGAUGGGUAGGGGUUCUGAGAGGAAAGCCCCCCACACUGGUACUGAGACACGGACCAGACUCCUACGGGAGGCAGCAGUAAGGAAUAUUGGGCAAUGGUCGAAAGACUGACCCAGCCAUGCCGCGUGCAGGAUGAAGGCCCUAUGGGUUGUAAACUGCUUUUAGCCGGGAAUAAACACCCGUUUUAUAACGGGCCCGAAGUACCGGCUGAAUAAGCAUCGGCUAACUCCGUGCCAGCAGCCGCGGUAAUACGGAGGAUGCAAGCGUUAUCCGGAUUCACUGGGUUUAAAGGGUGCGCAGGCGGACAUUUAAGUCAGGGGUGAAAUCCUACAGCUUAACUGUAGAACUGCCCUUGAUACUGAAUGCCUAGAGUAAAGCUGAAGUGGGCGGAAUGUGUUGUGUAGCGGUGAAAUGCUUAGAUAUAACACAGAACACCAAUCGCGAAGGCAGCUCACUAAACUUUAACUGACGCUCAUGCACGAAAGCGUGGGGAGCAAACAGGAUUAGAUACCCUGGUAGUCCACGCCCUAAACGAUGAUCACUCGCUGUUGGCGAUAUAUUGUCAGUGGCUAAGCAAAAGUGAUAAGUGAUCCACCUGGGGAGUACGACCGCAAGGUUGAAACUCAAAGGAAUUGACGGGGGCCCGCACAAGCGGAGGAGCAUGUGGUUUAAUUCGAUGAUACGCGAGGAACCUUACCCGGGCUUGAAAUGCAUCUGACGUAUUCGGAAACGGAUAUCUCCUACGGGGCAGAUGUGUAGGUGCUGCAUGGUUGUCGUCAGCUCGUGCCGUGAGGUGUCGGCUUAAGUGCCAUAACGAGCGCAACCCUCAUCGUCAGUUACCAUCAGGUAAAGCUGGGGACUCUGGCGAGACUGCCAUCGUAAGAUGCGAGGAAGGUGGGGAUGACGUCAAAUCAGCACGGCCCUUACGUCCGGGGCGACACACGUGUUACAAUGGGUGGUACAAAGGGCAGCUACCUGGCGACAGGAUGCUAAUCUCCAAAACCACUCUCAGUUCGGAUCGGAGUCUGCAACUCGACUCCGUGAAGCUGGAUUCGCUAGUAAUCGCGCAUCAGCCACGGCGCGGUGAAUACGUUCCCGGGCCUUGUACACACCGCCCGUC